UGGUGAUCAUUGCGCCGUUGAACCACCCGAUCCCAUCCCGAACUCGGCCGUGAAAAGCGGCAGCGCCGAUGGUACUUACGCUUAAGCGUUGGAAGAGUAGGUCAUCGCCA
rnacentral:rRNA from 3 species